UCUUCCGAACUCAAAACUCCGGAAGAAAACCAGAACUUUCAGAUAAGGACCAUUGGACUCUUACGCGAAUUGUUAGAAAAGAUUACAAAAGUAAAGCUCCCAAAAUUACUGCAGAGCUUAAUGACCACCUCGAGAACCCAGUUUCAAC